rnacentral:rRNA from 1 species
CUACGAGUUUGAUCCUGGCUCAGAACGAACGCUGGCGGCAGGCCUAACACAUGCAAGUCGAGCGCGCCCUUCGGGGUGAGCGGCGGACGGGUGAGUAACGCGUGGGAACGUGCCCUUUUCUACGGAAUAGUCUCGGGAAACUGGGGGUAAUACCGUAUACGCCCUUCGGGGGAAAGAUUUAUCGGAGAAGGAUCGGCCCGCGUUGGAUUAGGUAGUUGGUGGGGUAAUGGCCUACCAAGCCGACGAUCCAUAGCUGGUUUGAGAGGAUGAUCAGCCACACUGGGACUGAGACACGGCCCAGACUCCUACGGGAGGCAGCAGUGGGGAAUCUUAGACAAUGGGCGCAAGCCUGAUCUAGCCAUGCCGCGUGAGCGAUGAAGGCCUUAGGGUUGUAAAGCUCUUCAGGGGGAAGAUAAUGACUGUACCCCCAGAAGAAGCCCCGGCUAACUCCGUG